rnacentral:sRNA from 1 species
CACCCGGUCAGGCCCCCGACGUUGGGCAUA